AAAUUGAAGAGUUUGAUCAUGGCUCAGAUUGAACGCUGGCGGCAGGCCUAACACAUGCAAGUCGAACGGUAACAGGAAGCAGCUUGCUGCUUUGCUGACGAGUGGCGGACGGGUGAGUAAUGUCUGGGAAACUGCCUGAUGGAGGGGGAUAACUACUGGAAACGGUGGCUAAUACCGCAUAACGUCGCAAGACCAAAGAGGGGGACCUUCGGGCCUCUUGCCAUAAGAUGUGCCCAGAUGGGAUUAGCUUGUUGGUGAGGUAACGGCUCACCAAGGCGACGAUCCCUAGCUGGUCUGAGAGGAUGACCAGCCACACUGGAACUGAGACACGGUCCAGACUCCUACGGGAGGCAGCAGUGGGGAAUAUUGCACAAUGGGCGCAAGCCUGAUGCAGCCAUGCCGCGUGUAUGAAGAAGGCCUUCGGGUUGUAAAGUACUUUCAGCGGGGAGGAAGGUGUUG
rnacentral:rRNA from 1 species